rnacentral:rRNA from 1 species
GACGAACGCUGGUGGCGUGCUUAACACAUGCAAGUCGAACGGGAUUUAGUAAACAGAAGCCUCGGUGGAAGAUUACUAAUGAGAGUGGCGAACGGGUGAGUAACGCGUGAGCAACCUGCCUAUGACAGUGGGAUAGCCUCGGGAAACCGGGAUUAAUACCGCAUAAAAUCGUAGAAACACAUGUUUUAACGGUCAAAGAUUUAUCGGUCAUAGAUGGGCUCGCGUCUGAUUAGCUAGUUGGUGAGAUAACAGCCCACCAAGGCGACGAUCAGUAGCCGGUCUGAGAGGAUGAAUGGCCACAUUGGAACUGAGACGCGGUCCAAACUCCUACGGGAGGCAGCAGUGGGGAAUAUUGCACAAUGGGGGAAACCCUGAUGAAGCGACGCCGCGUGAACGAAGAAGGUAUUCGUAUCGUAAAGUUCUGUCCUAUGGGAAGAUAAUGACAGUAACAUAGAAGAAAGCUCCGGCUAAAUACGUG